UAGGCUGGCGUGCAGUGGCACGAUCUCGACUCACUGCAACCUCCACCUCCUAGGUUCAAGCCAUUCUCCUGACUCAGCCUCCCAAGUAGCUGGGACUAUAGGCGUGUGCCACCACGCCCAGCUAAUUUUUGUUAUUUUCAGUAGAGAUGGGUUUCCGCAUGUUGACCAAGCUGGUCUGGAACUCCUGGCCUCAAGUGAUUUGCCUGCCUUGGCCUCCCAAAGUGU
rnacentral:lncRNA from 10 species